GUAGCUACGUUCGGAACUGAUAAGCGCUGAAAGCAUCUAAGCGCGAAGCAGGCCUCGAGAUGAGUUCUCACUAGACUUUUAAAGUCUCUGAAGGGCCGUUGAAGACUACAACGUUGAUAGGCAAGAUGUGGAAGUGGUGUGAGCCAUUAAGCUAACUUGUACUAAUUACCCGUGAGGCUUAACCAUACAACGCCAAACGCGUUU
rnacentral:rRNA from 1 species